GCCAGACUCCUACGGGAGGCAGCAGUGGGGAAUAUUGCACAAUGGGGGAAACCCUGAUGCAGCAACGCCGCGUGAGUGAAGAAGUAUUUCGGUAUGUAAAGCUCUAUCAGCAGGGAAGAGAAUGACGGUACCUGACUAAGAAGCCCCGGCUAACUACGUGCCAGCAGCCGCGGUAAUACGUAGGGGGCGAGCGUUAUCCGGAUUUACUGGGUGUAAAGGGAGCGUAGACGGCAGUGCAAGUCCGGAGUGAAAGCCCGGGGCUCAACCCUGGGACUGCUCUGGAAACUGUAAAGCUGGAGUGCGGGAGGGGCAGGCGGAAUUCCUGGUGUAGCGGUGAAAUGCGUAGAUAUCAGGAGGAACACCGGCGGCGAAGGCGGCCUGCUGGACCGUAACUGACGUUGAGGCUCGAAAGCGUGGGGAGCAAACAGGAUUAGAUACCCUAGUACU
rnacentral:rRNA from 1 species